UACAGAGGGUGCAAGCGUUAAUCGGACUUACUGGGCGUAAAGGGCGCGUAGGUGGUUAUAUAAGUCAGUUGUGAAAGGCCUGGGCUUAACCGAGGAAUUGCAAUUGAAACUGUGUGACUAGAGUUGAGUAGAGGGGAGCGGAAUUUCCGGUGUAGCGGUGAAAUGCGUAGAUAUCGGAAGGAACACCAGUUGCGAAGGCGGCUCUCUGGACUCAAACUGACGCUGAGGCGCGAAAGCGUGGGUAGCGAACAGG
rnacentral:rRNA from 1 species